rnacentral:ncRNA from 1 species
GGAGGCUCGGAUUAAAAGGGAAUACGGUUGGAAUCCGUAGCAGUACCCGCUACUGUGUUGUUAUUGUGAGAUGUGACUCACAUUGUGGAGACGAAGCCACUGUCAGACCCCCUCAGUCCCCCUGCGUAGGGGGAGGGAGGAGAGGUUAGAGUUAUCAGGUUAGGGGUUAGGGUGGAGAGGUUAGAGACAAACCACCAACACCUAUCACCUAACACCUAACACCCACUUCAGACGGGAAGGCACCACGUAAAACUAAGUCAGGAGACCUGCCAGAACUUAAU